UGUCGAGUUGGCUUCCUGGAGACCUAAAGAUCUGAUGGCACCACGCUAUAGCCAUGCUUCUUAUUGCUGCUUUGGUCACCUGGAAUCAUGGUAAAAAGCAAAGGAUUUUGAAGAAGUGGACCCAACAUGCGUCCAAACUGACCGAGGCUGACCUCCUGGACCUGCCACGGCCAGGCUCACUCACAGAAGGGAGCCGCGGCUGGGGAGGGGGCUCACCACCAUGGUGUAUGGUGUCCCCUGCAGGAAGCUGCCACCCAGAGGGGCUGGGCCAGCCUCACCCCGGGCCGGGCCCUGCUCUUCCAACUCCUGAAGAAUAAAGACGUCUGACCCUUUUCUGUGCGCACCUGGAAGGAUCCCUGCUGUGGUCACUCCAUCAAUGACGUUGAUAUUUAUUAGGAGUCUGACUUUUUCUCACUUGGCUAAACUUGUAAGUAGCAUUUGCCCUGGCUGGGCGUGAUCAUUCUGAGUUGGAAUCAAGGAAAGUGGAAGCCAGAGUGGGGAUAAAAAAGGAGUAAAACUCUUCAACCACA